rnacentral:lncRNA from 1 species
GCUCCCGCCAGCGGCCGGCCCACACCGGCCCUCCCGCUACGCACGUGCGCAGGGGUCUCCCAGGCAGAGCCCCGGUCCCCCAAACCAAGUGCGCCCAACUUACUGAACUCCUGGGGCGGGCCGGCGGGCGGGCGGAAGGAAGAAAGCAGGCCGGGCGGCCGCGGGGACAGCCUGGCGUGGGAGGCGGCUUCGGGCCCCACCUGGCGCAGCCUCGGCGGACCGCGCGAAGGGACCGGGGUUCGGGCCCGACGCGCUCCCAAAGAGUCCCCGCCGACGCUGACGCGGAAGCGCCACAGCUCACCACGUCCCUCCGCGGCCCGAGGCGACGCGGCGGCUCACGGCGUCCCUCCGCGCUGUGGAACUGGGCGGGCGGGCAGCGCGCGGGCGCAGGCAGUUGACAGGAGGAACCGCCCCGCAGCCGCUGCUGCCGCCACCGAAGGAGCUGGAACCGAAGAGGGCAGGACCUGAGGCGCCCCUCGCCCGGGCAACGGCUGCCGCUGGAGCCCGGCUCCCCCCCAGCGUCGCUCCACCUGCAACGGUCCCUCAGGCUUUUGGAGAGGGGCGCGAAAGGAUGGGGGUUUCUCCCCACCUUGGGCCCUUUCUGGUAGUAGUUGUUGUUUCAGGAAACUUUAUUAAGUCAGUCUCUCGCUUUCUCGGUCUCCCCCUCCCCGAAGAGCCUGAGCUACCGCCGCGGAGCGAGUAGGAAGGGGGAAGCAGAGACUCUCCGGCAGCGACAGGGAGCGAGUGACUGACCCCGGACGGAGAUGGGGCGAGGGCAGGAAGUGACAAGCUCUCGGAGUGGGUGGGGGGAGUGUGGCCGGCACGCCCGGGAGCGUCACGCGCAUGCGCCCGGCCCGGCGCCCCCGCCGGUGGGGAGGCGACGCGCGGCGGCUGGGCAGGGAGAGGGAGACCGGGCUGGCGGCGCGGGGCUGACAGCCGGUUGUCUUCCACUCGCGGCUCUCGCAAGCGUCCCCGGCGGACGAGGGGCCGAAGUCCUGGGCUUCGCGGGCCAAGAGAAAGUAAGGCCAUCAGUCCUGAGACAGAUGUCAACACAAAAAACAAACCCAUAAUAGCACCAGUGAAUAAACCAGAUCUUAUGGAGCCAGUAAUUCCCAGAAAACAAGCCAGGACUAAGUAAAUCUGUAAGCAUUUAAAAAUGUACUCUCUCGUGUAUACCUGUGGCAGAUUCAUGUUGAUGUAUGGCAAAACCAAUACAACAUUGUAAAGUAAUUAACCUCCAGUUAAAAUAAAUAAAUUUAUAUUUUUAAAAAAUGUACCCUCUCAGAUUUCCUUAGCGGUCCAGGGGUUAAGAAUCUGCCUGCCAAUGCAGACAGGGGACAUGUGUUCAAUCCCUGGUCCAUGAAGGUUCCGCAUGCCUCGGGGCAGCUAAGCUGGUGUGCCACAACUACGGAAAUCCUCACUCCUAGAGUUCAUGCUGUGCAACAAAGAGAAACCAUCACAAUGAGAGGCCCACAGACUGCAAGUAGAGAGUAAGCCCUCUUGCCACAACUAGAGAAAGCCUGUGCACAGCAAGGAAGACCCAGAACCAC